GACGAACGCUGGCGGCGUGGAUUAGGCAUGCAAGUCGAACGGUAGGAUACCUUCGGGUAUCUGAGAGUGGCGAACGGGUGAGUAACACGUAGGUGAUCUACCCUCAAGAUUGGGACAACCCAGGGAAACUUGGGCUAAUACCGGAUGAAAGCAGCAGUGAUGUUGUUUGAAAGGUGGCGUAAGCUGCCGUUUGGGGAUGAGCCUGCGCUCUAUUAGUUAGUUGGCGGGGUAAAGGCCCACCAAGGCGAUGAUAGAUAGGCGGCCUUAACGGGUGGUCGCCCACACUGGGAUUGAGAUACGGCCCAGACUCCUACGGGAGGCAGCAGUCGAGAAUUGUCUACAAUGGCCGAAAGGCUGAUAGUGCGACGCCGCGUGAACGAAGAAGCCCUUCGGGGUGUAAAGUUCUUUUAUAUAUGAGCAGUGCUUUCUAUGUGAACAGCAUGGGGAGAGAGAUAUUAGCAUAUGAAUAAGCAACGGCUAACUCCGUGCCAGC
rnacentral:rRNA from 1 species